GAUGAACGCUGGCUACAGGCUUAACACAUGCAAGUCGAGGGGAAACGCCGGGGAAGCUUGCUUCCCCGGGCGUCGACCGGCGCACGGGUGAGUAACGCGUAUCCAACCUGCCUCUGACUGAGGGAUAACCCGUCGAAAGUCGGCCUAAUACCUCAUGGCAUCGUCUGCGGGCAUCCAACGACGAUUAAAGAUUUCAUCGGUCAGGGAUGGGGAUGCGUCUGAUUAGCUUGUUGGCGGGGUAACGGCCCACCAAGGCUACGAUCAGUAGGGGUUCUGAGAGGAAGGUCCCCCACAUUGGAACUGAGACACGGUCCAAACUCCUACGGGAGGCAGCAGUGAGGAAUAUUGGUCAAUGGGCGGGAGCCUGAACCAGCCAAGUAGCGUGCAGGAUGACGGCCCUAUGGGUUGUAAACUGCUUUUAUGCGGGGAUAAAGUGAGGGACGUGUCCUUCAUUGCAGGGACCGCAUGAAUAAGGACCGGCUAAUUCCGU
rnacentral:rRNA from 1 species